ensembl:lncRNA
AGUCCCCGUACGUGCAGGUAAACAGCAUCGGGUGCUGCAGCGUCUCCUUCAUUCACAUCGCUCAUGACGUCCACCUUCAUUGUCCGGUUGUGGAAGCUCGCGUUGACCCAAACUGAUCAUUUGUGGGAUUUCUGGUCUCUUCUCGGCGAUCGCCACUGAGCUGAACACUGAAAUGUCAACUAACGGCACAAAAUCUGACCUGUUACUUUGUGUGCAGUGAUACGGAACGCUCGGGUCAAUGUGACCAGCAACUGUACAUUAUGGCUCAAUAAUGCACCGUGACUCACUCUCAACCAAUCAGAGCGCUGCAUUUCAUCUACCCGUAUUAUAAUAUGCUAUAAGCUGCUAGAGGUUUAGAGCUUAACAACAGGAAUCCAAAGGGAUGCAUUUUACUUCAGGAGAACCUGAACGUGUUUCUAUUUAGUCUCUAAAAAAUGUCUCGUCUUCUAUGAGGUCAAACACUACGUUGUGUUACCAGAACCUGCUGCAAACCCACAACUGGUUAAUUACUAUUUGUUCUGCCUGAGUCAAUUGAAGGUAUAAGGGCCCAUUAUAAAUGCCUCUCAUCCUCUCAUCAGUGUCACAGGGUGAGGUCAAGUUGGGUUUUUGUCGGCAUGUUUUGGUCUUGUCAUUUCCGUUUUAUUUUGAAAGUAGUAACCUUCCUCUCGUUUCAGGUCACUUGCCCUUCCUCAUGUCACCAGUCGAAUCGUCUCCCCUGAUUCCUGAUUGUGUCCACCUGUUUCCCAUUACCCUCAUGUGUCUUAUAGUCUGCGUCUCCCUUUGUCUUGUGCCUGAGUGUACCACCGUGCGAUCACCCAAGCCUCGCCACAGCCACAGGAUUUGUUAAUACCAUUGCCUUGUCUCGGAAUGAUUUCCCCUUUAUGUUUUUCCAGUGAGUAAGAGUGACCUUUGUUGGAGCUUCUUAGUUUUAGUUUUAGCGCGCUUUCGAAGCCGUUCGUUUUCCUCGUUUAAGAGAGAUUUUAGUUUGUUAACUUUCGUCGGAAACGCUGAUAGCUCAUAGCCGUUUGUUUGUUUUUUCACGACGCGAAUAAAGACGCCAAACCCUCUGCAUCUGAGUCCUCAUUUUUAUCUGGUCCUGACGGAACACUCAGGCCAGUAUGGACUCAGCAGAGGCAGAACAGAUGGCGGCAGCCCUGGGUGCCCAAGAUGCCCGUCUUUCCCUUCAGGAGGAAUUCCAGACGUCACUGGCUUCCCACAUAAGCCUACUCUCAUCCCAAAUUCAGGGUCUGCGUGACCUUUUCGUCCAGGACACCACAGCCCCCAGGGCCCCGACAGUAGAGGCUGCUCCUCCCCCGACAGCGGUUGUCCAUGGGUCUGGAGGAAGGUUAGCCCCCCCUGAGAAAUUUGCGGGGGAGCAGGGACUAUGCAAGACCUUUCUCAUUGACUGUUCUAUUCAUUUUGAACUGACUCCUCAUGCUUUCCCCACCGAAAGGUCCAAGGUAGCAUUCAUGAUGACCCACCUGACCGGCAGGGCCAAAGCAUGGGCCUCGGCAGAGUGGGCUCGUGACUCCCCACUCUGCUUUUCCCUCACCGACUUUAAAGCAGCCUUACAGAGGGUUUUUGACCCAGUGUAAUGCACCACACCACCACAGGACUUGAGGCGCUAUUAGACUCGGGGGCUGACGCGAGCUUGUUGGACUGGGGACUAGCGGAGAGACUCGGUAUCAAGUCCGAACUCUUGGUAAAGCCUAUCCAAGCCAAGGCCCUCAACGGAGCUGAACUGUUCACCAUCACCCACACCUCCGAACCUCUCGAAAUGCACAUAAAGAACCAUAAAGAGAUCAUUCGUUUUUAUUUAUUUCAAUCCCCUUCUCAGGCACUGGUCUUGGGACAGCCAUGGCUGUGUCGCCACAACCCCCAUGUGAACUGGAGAACGGGAGAAAUUAUAG